rnacentral:rRNA from 1 species
AGAGUUUGAUCAUGGCUCAGGACGAACGCUGGCGGCGUGCUUAACACAUGCAAGUCGAACGGUGACCCAGGGCUUGCCCUGGUGAUCAGUGGCGAACGGGUGAGUAACACGUGGGCAACCUGCCCCUGACUUCGGGAUAACUCCUCGAAAGAGGAGCUAAUACCGGAUACGACCACUUCGGACAUCCGAUGGUGGUGGAAAGUUUUUCGGUCAGGGAUGGGCCCGCGGCCUAUCAGCUAGUUGGUGGGGUAAUGGCCUACCAAGGCGACGACGGGUAGCCGGCCUGAGAGGGCGACCGGCCAUACUGGGACUGAGACACGGCCCAGACUCCUACGGGAGGCAGCAGUGGGGAAUAUUGCGCAAUGGGCGAAAGCCUGACGCAGCGACGCCGCGUGAGGGAUGAAGGCCUUCGGGUUGUAAACCUCUUUCAGCAGGGACGAAGCGAAAGUGACGGUACCUGCAGAAGAAGCACCGGCUAACUACGUG